AACUUUUAGCAAUGGAUCACUUGGCUCUCCCAUCGAUGAAGAACGCAGCGAAAUGCGAUAAGUAAUGUGAAUUGCAGAAUUCAGUGAAUCAUCGAAUCUUUGAACGCACCUUGCGCCCUUUGGUAUUCCGAAGGGCAUGCCUGUUUGAGUGUCAUUAAAUUCUCAACCCAAAAAGCUUUUACUAGCUCUUUUUGUGGCUUGGAUGUGGGGGUUUUUGCUGGCUUCCUUCAGUGGAUGGUCUGCUCCCCUUAAAUGCAUUAGUGGGAUCUCUUGUGGACCGUCACUUGGUGUGAUAAUUAUCUAUACCACGUUGACUUUGAAGCAAAACUUAUGGGAACCCGCUCAUAACCGUCUUCGGACAACUCUUGACAUUUUGAGCUCAAAUCAGGUAGGACUACCCGCUGAACUUAAGCAUAUCAAUAAGCGGAGGCU
rnacentral:misc_RNA from 1 species